GGGAUAUUACUUUUACCUGUCUGCUAAACAAAAGAUGUUAGUCAACAGUAAGACAUAUUUUUUGAAAAAAAAAUUUCUUAGUGAAGGAAUAGGUGCCUCUAAAAUCGAGCUUGAUGAAGUUCGACAAGUAGAGAAUCGACAUCAAUGAUUGAAUCUGAACCAGAUUUGGUGAGAUCAAAUCUGGAGCCCAAUGAACAAAUAUCCUUAAGAC
rnacentral:lncRNA from 1 species